rnacentral:rRNA from 1 species
UACAGGGGGGGCAAGCGUUGUUCGGAAUUACUGGGCGUAAAGGGUCUGUAGGUGGCCAACUAAGUCAGACGUGAAAUCCCUCAGCUUAACUGGGGAACUGCGUCUGAUACUGGAUGGCUUGAGUGUGGGAGAGGAAUGCGGAAUUCCAGGUGUAGCGGUGAAAUGCGUAGAUAUCUGGAGGAACACCGGUGGCGAAGGCGGCCCUCUGGACGGUGACUGACGCUGAGACGCGAAAGCGUGGGGAGCAAACAGG